GGGGAAAGCUACUUAUUGUUAGAGCUUGUAGUUCUGCUAUCGUGGAUAUGGAAACGUCCAGACAUGAAACUUUGAGGAAAGUGACCUUAGAUGAAAUUCAUUGCUUCAAAAAGAGAAAUUCUUGAGCAAUCGAUCCCAAGAUAGAUGUCGUCUGAGAUCAUCAAUUGGUUCAUUGAUCCAGACACACCAAGGCCUCAGAUCAAGAGCUGUAACAAGAAAAGUGCUUACCCCAUGGUGCUUCCGUCGGAAUAUAUUUACAAAAUUAACUUUGAAAAAAAAAUUGGAGUUGAUUAGUUACAUUAGACACUCUGUCAACAAAUCCAGCUCGUCCUAAUCAGUCAUAAUUAACACUGAUGUCUGAUGAGAGGUACAAGUAAGAGCAGGCGGUGACGGCUGAGGUGCCCCUCUAGGGGCCUGCCGAGAGCCUCUCGUUAUCUUCCACUUGAAGAAGCCGCACGUUGGCUGCUUUGGUCGUUUUGGCAGAAGAGACAGACGCCCGGGCCUCUAGUGGCUGUAAGGGCCUGGCACACGGGGGCGUGUAGCGUGUAGAGACAAGUGGCUUCCAGUGUUCUCGACGAACGGAGUGUGAACAUCAAACGCCAACUAACCCAUGCUUUCCAUUACAGCUCUCGAGCUCAAGAUUGUUGGAGACCACCUCCCAGAGCAACCCUCCAGGUCACGGGGGGCCAUCCGCAUGCACCAGGGCCCCUACUUCCCUCUCACUCCUUUCCCGCUGCCUUUUAUAGAACUCCGAUUCCCCAAAGCUUUACAAACCAGAGAAUUUUUUUUUUUACCACCGAAUUCCUUGUAGCUCUGCUAGACACAAAGGAGAGAAACAGGACCUAGUCUCCGUGACUUCAUCAGGGCUUAGGAUUUUCCUUCCACCCCUUCC